CUAACUCAAAUUUGUAUGGAGUUGGAACGUUUGACUACGUUUGCCGCUAGGGGCGCUGUUCCAACUGCAUACAAAUUUGAGUUA
rfam:Bombyx mori DNA, contig: Bm_scaf101_contig36172, strain: p50T/Dazao, build 2, whole genome shotgun sequence.